UACGUAGGGGUCGAGCGUUGUCCGGAGUUACUGGGCGUAAAGGGCGCGUAGGCGGCCCGCUAAGUCGAACGUGAAAUCCCCGGGCUCAACCCGGGAACUGCGUCCGAUACUGGUGGGCUUGAAUCCGGGAGAGGGAUGCGGAAUUCCAGGUGUAGCGGUGAAAUGCGUAGAUAUCUGGAGGAACACCGGUGGCGAAGGCGGCAUCCUGGACCGGUAUUGACGCUGAGGCGCGAAAGCCAGGGGAGCAAACAGG
rnacentral:rRNA from 1 species